rnacentral:rRNA from 1 species
UACGGGGGGGGCAAGCGUUGUUCGGAAUUACUGGGCGUAAAGGGCUCGUAGGCGGCCAACUAAGUCAGACGUGAAAUCCCUCGGCUUAACCGGGGAACUGCGUCUGAUACUGGAUGGCUCGAGUUUGGGAGAGGGAUGCGGAAUUCCAGGUGUAGCGGUGAAAUGCGCAGAUAUCAGGAGGAACACCAAUGGCGAAGGCAGCUCACUGGGACGGUAUUGACGCUGAGACGCGAAAGCGUGGGGAGCAAACAGG